ACAGGCCUUGAAGGUGUCUUGGCACAGGAACACUCAGACACCACAACCGCCCUGUGCAUCCACCUGUUGGAUUGAGAGUUCAUUUUUUGGGGCUGGUUUACCUCUUGAGACUUCUGCUGUUGCUGCCAAUGAAGGCACAAACUGCAACAUUAGAUCAUGGUUUCACUCCACAGAGCUCUUUUCACCUAUGACAAAUUUUUCUAAAACCCCAACGCUCAGUCCCUCUCAAGUACAUAAUCUAAUGUGGCGUAUCCCCAGCAUUCAGAAGUUGCGACAGACUUCUCUAAAUCAUGGAUUGCUUUAAGAAAUCAAAAUAAUGUAAAGCUCUGUGGGGCUUUUUUUAGGCUCCCUCUCACUACUGAACCUUUAGCAGUCCCUUCUUUCUAUUUUUCAUGGUUUCUUCACUGUUGUCACACUAAGAUGUUCAUACUGUUUUUUUGAUUUUAGAAGCUAGUGCUAAAAAAAAAAAAAAAAAAAAUCAAAAUAUCAAAAUACUUGCUCUAUAUAACCACAAGACUUGGCAAUAUUUCAUUUUCCUUCAAAUUUAGCACAUUCUUUCCAUACACAGGUUUUUUCAGACUUCUUUUGCUUGAGGAAGCAGUCUGGAGCUUCAGUUUUUCUGGGCAUAAUACAGAAAAAGAGGGGAACAGUGGUCCAUUGCUAUAAUUUGGAAACCUAAUUUUUACCUCAGUCUACCAGUGACUCAACGCUGGAUGGAUGGAGGAGCUUGCUCCUGUGACCAGAUGGAGGAAAACUGAAGCUGGGAUGUGUAAUCUGAGAACUCUUUUCCAUGAAGAGACAAAGAUAACUGGAGGGAAGUGUUCAGAAAAAAAGAUUUGAGCAACACCCAGAGUUUUAAGUCUCCUGUGGAUGAAAAACAAUAAACAGGUUCUCCAGGGAUGUGUCUUGGUGGGGCUAGAAAGGUGUACCUUCCAUAGUGCUCGUCUCCAAGUGAAUUGCUCUGGUAUAAGGUGUAUUCAGCAAAGUUUAUGCUGCUCCCAGGAGUUCAUCCAUGAGUUGCAGCCUCCAUCUAAGCUGGGGACGUGUGGAUAUGACUUGGUGGAUCUUUCUUUGGAAGAAUACAGUUGUAGCAAUUCCAGUUUGAUGAAGCUGGAGAAUCAUUGACCUUUGCUGGUCGACAAAAUCAUCUUAAUUCAUUUCCUCUCAGCAUCUCUCCAGUUGUGUCUGUGCCUGGUCAGGACCGAUUCAUGACACAAAAGUGUCAGUCCCUGGGUGUUGCCUUGUUGCAGACUGGAUUUUCUUGGCUGCGGUUGGAGGGCAUCGAAUACCUGGAUAUCCUCAUGGUUACAG